GCCGGCAGCCAUAUCACCCUGUAGCCCAAGACUGGUUGCCCACUGAAGCUAAGCAGGGUUGAGCCUGGUUAGUACCUGGAUGGGAGACCUCCUGGGAAAACUAGGUUGCUACUGGAA
rnacentral:rRNA from 1 species